AGUGAACGCUGGCGGUAGGCCUAACACAUGCGAGUCGAACGGCAGCACAGUAAGAGCUUGCUCUUACGGGUGGCGAGUGGCGGACGGGUGAGGAAUACAUCGGAAUCUACUUUUUCGUGGGGGAUAACGUAGGGAAACUUACGCUAAUACCGCAUACGACCUACGGGUGAAAGCAGGGGAUCUUCGGACCUUGCGCGAUUGAAUGAGCCGAUGUCGGAUUAGCUAGUUGGCGGGGUAAAGGCCCACCAAGGCGACGAUCCGUAGCUGGCCUGAGAGGAUGAUCAGCCACACUGGAACUGAGACACGGUCUAGACUCCUACGGGAGGCAGCAGUGGGGAAUAUUGGACAAUGGGCGCAAGCCUGAUCCAGCCAUACCGCGUGGGUGAAGAAGGCCUUCGGGUUGUAAAGCCCUUUUGUUGGGAAAGAAAAGCAGCAGGUUAAUACCCCGCUGUUCUGACGGUACCCAAAGAAUAAGCACCGGCUAACUUCGUG
rnacentral:rRNA from 1 species